GGCCGGGCCCUGCGCAACGGCCCCUCGUGAACCGAGUCAGGGUCGGAAGGCAGCAGCUCUCAGCGGGUCAGGACGUGUGCCGUAGUCAGCCUGGCCACC
rnacentral:SRP_RNA from 1 species